UGCGCAGGCGGGAGGAUAGGUCGGAUGUGAAAACCCUGGGCUUAACCCAGGGCCUGCAUCCGAAACCAUUCUUCUUGAGUAUCGGAGAGGGAAGCGGAACUCCAGGUGUAGGGGUGAAAUCCGUAGAUAUCUGGGGGAACACCGGUGGCGAAGGCGGCUUCCUGGACGAAUACUGACGCUCAGGCACGAAGGCUAGGGGAGCAAACA
rnacentral:rRNA from 1 species